CUUCACUCUGCUCAGCAGUCUGCAGGGGCCGCACUAUACAUUCAGAGCCGCUUGAUCCAGAGGAAGGUUUUGUAUAUUACGUUUGUCAACCUUCACAGACGAAAAUCGGAUUCGUUUUGAGACAGAGAGACGUUAAAGUGACGAGGUGGUGAAAGUUCUGAACUUGCAGAGGCGAAAUCAGAGACGGAAACAAGACGAUCCAGGAGGAUUCCUGAAGGAUGACAAGAUGGGAGGGUGACGACAACAAGUCGGGUGGACGAUGACAACGGAAUGGGAGGGCGAUGACAACAGGACGGGUGCAGGUUUCAAGUCAAACCCUUUAACGUCUCAAAAUGAAACCACAACUUUUCAAAAACUCACACAUGUAAAUAUCACUUAAAUAACAGCAAAAUACCUGCAGCAUUUCUUGCGGAACAUUGCAAAGAAGGUUCCAAGUCAAAAUGGAGAACUGGAUAAAGAAGAGUCACCGAGGAACACUUCCAGGGUUUUCUCCAAAACACCUGCUGAGCCUGGUGGUAGCAUUGCUGGGGUCACCCAUCAGAGCCUGCUGUGUGUUUGUCAAGUUACCAAAAGUCAGAGGUGCACCAACAGGCACCUUAAUUCAGAAAUAACAGUGUGUGAAGCUGAGGAACCACAGCCAAUUAGAACGCCAGACCAGGUGUAGCUUCUAUGAAAAGAAAAAUAACUGAGAAAACAAAAAGUUUGUAGUUGAAGUAAAUAAUGUAGUAGAAAAAGAAAAUGAGAAAAAGUGAUCGAUUUGUCGUCCAGUAACCUAAACCUACAGCAGUAUAACUAAGGAGAUAGAUCAGGAUAGCCUAAACUAUUCUAAGUCUUUUCUUAAUCAAUGCCAUAAUCAUGGUAAUACCAUAAUGCAAGAACACAUUCUCAAAGAUCAAUAAAUACUAAAUUCUAACAAACAUCUAACACUGAA